CAUGAAACUCACUUCAAUGGAGCUAAUUGAUUGUCCGAGCCUCAAGAAAAUUCCAAGUUGUGUUGAGAUGGGAUCCCUUAAGAGUCUCAAACUUUCUUGUCUUCCAAAAUUGAGGGAAUUGCCAGAAACCAAGGGGAUGCACCGUUUAUUGACGUUAGAGCUGACUAACUGUCAAUACCUUGAGAAGCUUCCAAAUUUUGAUCAGAUGGAAUCCCUUGAGACUCUCAAACUUUCUUGUCUUCCAAAAUUGAGGGAAUUGCCAGAAACCAAGGGGAUGCACCGUUUAUUGACGUUAGAGCUGACUAACUGUCAAUACCUUGAGAAGCUUCCAAAUUUUGAUCAGAUGGAAUCCCUUGAGAC
rnacentral:misc_RNA from 1 species